AGAGUUUGAUCCUGGCUCAGGACGAACGCUGGCGGCGUGCCUAACACAUGCAAGUCGAACGAAGCUUGACGGAUGAUUUCUUCGGAAUGAAACCAGAUAUGACUUAGUGGCGGACGGGUGAGUAACGCGUGGGUAACCUGCCUUGUACAGGGGGAUAACAGUUGGAAACGGCUGCUAAUACCGCAUAAGCGCACGGCAUCGCAUGAUGCAGUGUGAAAAACUCCGGUGGUACAAGAUGGACCCGCGUCUGAUUAGCUGGUUGGUGAGGUAACGGCCCACCAAGGCGACGAUCGGUAGCCGGACUGAGAGGUUGAACGGCCACAUUGGGACUGAGACACGGCCCAGACUCCUACGGGAGGCAGCAGUGGGGAAUAUUGCACAAUGGGGGAAACCCUGAUGCAGCAACGCCGCGUGAAGGAUGACGGUUUUCGGAUUGUAAACUUCUUUUCUUAGUGACGAAGACAGUGACGGUAGCUAAGGAAUAAGCAUCGGCUAACUACGUGCCAGCAGCCGCGGUAAUACGUAGGGGGCAAGCGUUAUCCGGAUUUACUGGGUGUAAAGGGAGCGUAGACGGUUUUGCAAGUCUGAAGUGAAAGCCCGGGGCUUAACCCCGGGACUGCUUUGGAAACUGUAGAACUAGAGUGCAGGAGAGGUAAGUGGAAUUCCUAGUGUAGCGGUGAAAUGCGUAGAUAUUAGGAGGAACACCAGUGGCGAAGGCGGCUUGCUGGGCUUUAACUGACGCUGAGGCUCGAAAGUGUGGGGAGCAAACAGGAUUAGAUACCCUGGUAGUCCACACCGUAAACGAUGAUUACUAGGUGU
rnacentral:rRNA from 1 species